rnacentral:rRNA from 1 species
UACGAAGGGGGCUAGCGUUGCUCGGAAUCACUGGGCGUAAAGCGCACGUAGGCGGAUUGUUAAGUCAGGGGUGAAAUCCUGGAGCUCAACUCCAGAACUGCCUUUGAUACUGGCGAUCUUGAGUCCGGGAGAGGUGAGUGGAACUGCGAGUGUAGAGGUGAAAUUCGUAGAUAUUCGCAAGAACACCCGAUGGCUAAGGCGGCUACUCUGGUACGUGACGUGACGCUGAGACGCGAAAGCGUGGGGAGCGAACAGGA